UUGGUUUUUGAAGGAAGCCCAGAAAGCUACAACAACUUGAAGGCACCAAUUAAAGAACACAAGUUUGCAAUUGGGAGAGAGAGGUUCAGAGUUUCUGCCAUUGGUUGUUGAUCGAAGGUAGAAUCACAGACUGAUCGGUGUUUGGUGCUUUCGAAUUUGGAUUUUCCAGCUUGCGUUGGGUUGGGUUGCUUGCUUUUGGCCAGGAGCAAGAUACUGUGUAUUUGGUAGAUCAUUUUUUAACCUUGAUUUGGUCCCCAAGGUGACCUUGAAUAUGGCUUGGAAUACUGGAGAGGCUUUUACCAAAGCCUAAGGCCAACCCAGUUUGGUCUAUCGCUAAGUUUUUUCACUUAAUUUUUCCCUUACUUCUCUUUAAACUAGGCCAUGGAGUAGGAUGUCUCAACUCAAAGUUUAAUGUAAUUUUUUGCAGAUAUCUCAGCAAGGGCUUUUUAGGAGCUGAUUCUGGUGACAGAAUUUGUUAAGAAACAUUUUUGGGUACAGAGAUUUGCUCAAGGCACUGUCAGAUUGUGAUUGUCUUAAGGGAAGAAGUGAUCGAAGGACCCAAAGCGUGUGUCACCAAGAGCUUCAACUGAGGAAUGGUGUGAAGGCAAGGAACAAGGCCUCCACUGUCAUGAAAAAGGGGAAGUCUUUGUUUGAAGAUUUAGAGGCACAUUACUAAUACAAGUAAAAGGUGUUAAGAAGCUUCACAUUAAAGGCAUUGACAACUUCCUGAUUGCAAAGAGCAAGAACAACUUCCAAAUGUUGAAUAUGUUAGUUUGAUUAAUUAUGCAGGUGAGACUGCAGUUCAUUAAUCUUUUUUCUCACGCUGAAGAGGACUAAGAAGGUUCUGAAGAGGAGUACAAAAUUGAAUCAGAAACUGGCAAAGAAAUAUGAAAAUGACAGAGGAUCAAGAAGAAGCCGAUCAAGAUAAGGAGGAUAAGGAUGAUGCCCAUGACUAAUAUGCAUUAGAAACAUUCAGAGGCAGUAGGCAAUACAACCUCAUUAAGAUUGGGGACUUAUGCUCAAAAUACCAUAUGGAGGAAUGUGUUAAAUUGUUAGAACAUGGAGAAGACUGUAGUACUUGGGCUCCCUCCCUCUGUGAACUAGAGAACUUCAUUUGAUUACUAUUAGUUGUUA
rnacentral:lncRNA from 1 species